AGCCAUUCACUUGCAUUCAAAAACAGUGGGAAUCUUCUCCUUUCCCAAGCUCUCUCACGAGCUCUCUUCCUCUGUCAUCACUCUAUAAUUUGCCUCUUCUCUUGGCCACUCCUAUUUUCAAGUAUGAAUCAGAUUUUUUUAAUUAUUCUCAUGUUCUUCUCAACAAAAAAUCAGAAUAAAUACCCCUUUGGAGAUCACAGAAUCAUUCAUUCAUUCAUUCAUCAAACACAAGUAACACUAAGGAAAAUCCAUUCUUUCUUCAAUCGAGCUUCAAGAACUCAAUUUAGAGGUUUUGGAUAGGAGCUGAAGGGAGUUUCUGAGGCAGUAACCGAGCUUGUUAGCAGAUUAAAGCUCCAUUCUCAGGUGGGUUCUUAGGUUCCUUACCUUAAGAAUUAGUUAGAAGCUUAGUUGCCCCAAAAUAAUAUUACUGCAUACUAAUAUCAGGUUAAUUUAGGAUAUUUAGAAUUGAACUGUAAUUGGAUUAAUUAACUACUGAUAUAAGUCCCUACAUGACUGAAAUAAUGGAAAUUCAUGGAAUCUAUUGUAAAUAAGUGAUUUAUAAACUCUUUGGAAAGUUCUGUUCUUGAAAUUAUGCAGGAAGUCAUGUUGAAUCAGUUCAAACGGGACAUGAACCGGUGCACAAUUGUUCUAGAACACGAGAAUGUGUGUCUGAAACUUAUGAGUCGAUGCAUACAUGAUAUGAACCAGCACAUAAGUUUCGCAGCGUAUUUUUAUAAAAAAAAUUAUGGGCAACUUUGUAUCGGUGCAUACUUGGGUGAACCGGUUCAAGCACAACUAGCAGGGCUUUGCAUUGGUGCAGAUACAGAAUGAACCGAUUCAUGACACCCAAAACUUAUUUUUCUAAAACAACUGAAGCAAUUUAUUAUUUUUCUAUAAUAAUUAGAUUCCAUGGUUUCAUGUUUUCUUUCAUGUUUUAAAAUCAAGUUAGACUAUAAACUAGGUGAAGAAAUUAUGACUGUUUAGAAUCACCCGGGAAGGUUUAAUUUUCUUUUGGGUAGGACAACAAUUAAGUAAAUCAGAUAAGUUAUGUUAUUCAGUAUGCGUGGUCGCUAGCACCAUGUCAGUGGAUUCAUUCAGAAUCUAAAUUUAUGAAUUAAGAACCGUAAGCUCAUGUUGUAUUUCGACGUACAUUAUUAUCGGUAAUACCAGGCCAGGCACUCCGGGACCGGCUUACCCCGUGGUGAUCCUGUUAUGAUAAAAAAAUUGACAAGAUAAUUAUUAUGUGUGUUACACCUUUAUUGCUUAUAAUAUGUAAGACUUAUAAGAAUUUUAUUCAGAUUAGAAAUAUACACACUUUGGAAAAUUUCCCCCGGUGUAGUCACCAUUAGUCGGGUAGUAGGACUCACUGAGGCUUAGUAGUCUCAUCCCACUCCUCUUAAUUUUUUUUCAGAUAAGCAGGUGGCAUAAGGUAACGAGCUUUUGGAUGGAGCUUUUUAUGUUCAAGGACUUCAUGUUUAAGUUUUAUGAUCAUAAUAUUAUGUUAUGUAUAAGUUUAAGGCUAUGUCACUUGCUUACGAAUUCAUGUAUUCAGCAACUGCGUUUGCCAAUUCUGAACCCUUUUGUAUUGUAAGUUUAAUGAACUCUGUAUCGAUUAAGCAUUUUCGCAUUAUAUUCUAGACUAUGUAAUGUGGGGUGUUACAUUUUCCAUGCAGCACUUGCAAAAUUCAAGAAACAUUGGUCCUGUUUUUGAAAUGACAUCCUUCGAACUAAGAUAUGCUACAGAUUUAUCUGUCACUACUAUUAAAAUAUCUUCUAUACCUCGAACAAGAUUAACCAAAUAUGGUGACUCGCGAGUAUAUAUUUCAAAUAGAAGUUUAAUCUAACAAUAAACAGCCAUACACAGUCCAUCAGAAAUGAAUUGGAUCCUAAUGAUCCAAAACUGCCCAAGUAUUCCCCAGGGUUAACAGAUUCUCACAUCUUCUAUCAAAUAUACUUUUUAGCUGAUUAAUGUUUGGGAUCCACCAACUACCUUGACUAAUCAUUACGACUGAGCUGAAGUACCUAUCGAGCAUUUUGCAGAAGAGCAUUGGCUUCCUCAUUUGAGGCAUCGAGUGCACGCAAUUCCUUGAUUUCUUCCUGCCAUUUUUCAACCUGCUCCUUAUGAAUCCUGCAUAUUUGAAAUUAAAAGAAUCAUAAUUCAGACCACAAAUUGUCAAGAUAUAACAAUAUUAAAAGUGAAACAUAGUUUCGGGUAUGAAUGUUUGACAGGAACUUCAUCGCUCACAUUAUCUGUUUCUCUUCAAAUUCAUUGCAUAGGUCCUUAAACAUUGUUUUCCCUGAUUAUAGGAGCUCAGAUACCUACAUGAAAUCCAACCUCUCAAACAGUGUAUAACUAUAUAUGGAUACCCUUUGAGUAAAAUUCUCAAUCUUCUCAAGUACAAGAGAAAUAUUGAGUUCCAUUUCUUCAGACCCAACUUGAUUAGUCUCAAAUCCUUCCUCCUGUACAAGUACAAUCUGCGACUCAGCUUCAUCUCCUAUCUUUUCUUGAACCUGUAUAUUGUGAAAAGAAAAACAAAUGAAAGCUAAAAAUGCAGUACAAUAUUCAUAACAGCGAAAAGGUUCAAAGAUGAAAACAAUCACCUCAGGUUUCAUACGUUUCCUUGUAGAUCCACUGCUCAUGCUUCCCUUUUGAGUUGACAUUGGUUAAACCUACAGAUACAGAAACCUUUGAAUUACAAUUUCCAGGUUAAAUAAAUUUCUCAACUACAAUUACUUUAUUAUGAUCAAUUAUCGAAAAUUUCUCACAGGUCUUGUUAGUGACAAAGAAGUUAAAUCAUAGAAUUAAAAAAAUAAAUAAAAAUUGAGAUGCUAAAAUUAAUUUCAAACUUAUACUAGCAAUUUAUAUUCAAACAAUAUAUAAUUAUAAACGAAAUUCUUUUAAUAUUUCUUAAUACAUGAAUGUAUUUGGAGAAGUUUAUGCAUACACUCAAAAACACUUAGAAAAUUCAUCCAUGAAUCUGAAUGAAAAUUACGUUAAACAUAAUAUCGAAUCUGAAGGUAAAAUUACUCAUGAUUCAAAUACAACUAUAACGAUUAACAAACGAAUAACAUAAUAUCGAACAGAUUGAGAACUUAAUCAACAUGCAUAAACCAAAUCGAAAGGAAACUGUAUAUUCAUAUCAUAUAUCGACGUUUGAUUAAGGAAACUAGCUUCGAUUAAUUACCAAAACGUUAAUUGAAAAAAGGAAGAUCGUGAAAUUAGAUAUUCCGAUGAAUUUGCAUUAUGCUUUUAAGAAGUAAUAACGAAGAAGAUGAAAAAACGGUUGAGAUGAUUUUACCGGUUAGGUUUUCUGAUUGCGUUUUGUUUGAUUGUUCAAAUCUGAAACUUGCUAGAGAAGAAUUGAAAGAGCGAUCUUGCGAAAAUUUGCAGAUUUGUUUUUUCACUUUUAAAAUGGAAGCAUUCUUUUCGUUCCAAACUUCCAUGUUUUGAAAUUCGCGCGCUUUCGUCUAUCAGACUGGAUAUUGGGCUAAAGGUAAUUAGGCCUACAUGAAGGGCCCAUAUGACUAUACAUGGAGAGAUUUUCUUUCGGCCCCCCACAAUUCUUCUCGUGCGUCUUGCUAAAUUAUAAAAAUAUCUCCUAAGUAGUAAACUGAGUUCGCUAGUUAAGUAGUGAGUAUGUAUGAUGGUUUUUUUAAAAAAAAACUUGUUGAAAUUUGGUUGUUCUGAUACCGUGUGUUUUAUUGUUCAUAAAUGGAUUGCGUUAAAGGAAACUGAGAUGAAUGGACCACUGCGUUUUCAAGGCGAAAACGGGCACGACAAUGGGAGAUUCAACAAUGUGUGCGGCUUGAGCCUCAGGAGGAUGAGUAGGAGGAGGCAGAGAGUCAAUGAUAAUAAGUGCUAAAAAUUAGUGGGUAUUAUUG
rnacentral:lncRNA from 1 species